CACUUUCUACCUGUGACCAUGUGGGUUUUCUCCAAGUGCGCUGGUUUCCUCCCACAUAUCUAAGACAUGCGGGUUUCUAGGUUGAUCGUCCUCUGUAAAUUGUCCCUAGUGUAGUAACAUACAACUAAUGGUGUGGG